UACGGAGGGUGCAAGCGUUAUCCGGAUUCACUGGGUUUAAAGGGAGCGUAGGUGGGCUGGUAAGUCAGUGGUGAAAUCUCCGGGCUUAACCCGGAAACUGCCAUUGAUACUAUCUGUCUUGAAUAUUUCUGGAGGUAAGCGGAAUAUGUCAUGUAGCGGUGAAAUGCUUAGAUAUGACAUAGAACACCCAUUGCGAAGGCAGCUUACUACGGAACUAUUGACACUGAGGCUCGAAAGCGUGGGGGAUCAAACAGGA
rnacentral:rRNA from 1 species